rnacentral:rRNA from 1 species
GGCCGCGGGAAUUCGAUUCAGGCCUAACACAUGCAAGUCGAGCGGUAGAGAGAAGCUUGCUUCUCUUGAGAGCGGCGGACGGGUGAGUAAUGCCUAGGAAUCUGCCUGGUAGUGGGGGAUAACGUUCGGAAACGGACGCUAAUACCGCAUACGUCCUACGGGAGAAAGCAGGGGACCUUCGGGCCUUGCGCUAUCAGAUGAGCCUAGGUCGGAUUAGCUAGUUGGUGAGGUAAUGGCUCACCAAGGCGACGAUCCGUAACUGGUCUGAGAGGAUGAUCAGUCACACUGGAACUGAGACACGGUCCAGACUCCUACGGGAGGCAGCAGUGGGGAAUAUUGGACAAUGGGCGAAAGCCUGAUCCAUAAGAGCCGCGUGUGUGAAGAAGGUCUUCGG